GACGAACGCUGGCGGCGUGCUUAACACAUGCAAGUCGAACGGUGAAAGCGGAGCUUGCUCCGCUGGAUCAGUGGCGAACGGGUGAGUAACACGUGGGCAACCUGCCCCUCACUUCGGGAUAACUCCGGGAAACCGGGGCUAAUACCGGAUAUGACCUCCUUGGGCAUCCUUGGAGGUGGAAAGUUUUUCGGUGAGGGAUGGGCCCGCGGCGUAUCAGCUUGUUGGUGAGGUAGUGGCUCACCAAGGCGACGACGGGUAGCCGGCCUGAGAGGGCGACCGGCCACACGGGGACUGAGACACGGACCAGACUCCUACGGGGGGCAGCAGUGGGGAAUAUUGCGCAAGGGGCGAAAGCCUGACGCAGCAACGCCGCGUGCGGGAUGACGGCCUUCGGGUUGUAAACCGCUUUCGGCAGGGAAGAAGCCGCAAGGUGACGGUACCUGCAGAAGAAGCACCGGCUAACUACGUGCCAGCCGCCGCCGUAA
rnacentral:rRNA from 1 species